AUGCAAGGUCGUCCACGCUCUCGCCAUCCCAUGCAUGUGUCCGCCUGCAAGCGCAGCUUCUUCAAGGCUGGAGGGUCCCAGGGAUUCCUAAACGGGGGCUUUAGCUGUCAUCCUGUGGCAUCUGAAUGGGGAAAACAGCCCCAGCAGCUGGGGGCAACCCCAGUGUGCGCUCCGCCCCAAGUCUCCCCACUUGCUGCCAGCUUUCCCCGACCUGAGAUCAGAUCAUUUCGUGCCAUUUCCCGGCACCAAACCCCGAGGACACGGGCUCCUCUGUGGGUCUUGGUUCCAUCACAGCACCUGAUCCGCCCCCCCCAGGUUCCUGCAUUGCUCCCAGGCGUCCCGGGCAGGGGCCAGGUUUCAGGGGAAGCGCUGCCACUUCUGCCUGGUGCUUUUAAAACCAGGACAAAACCACCCAACAGGUGGGGUGCCGCCCCCAGCCCUUCUGCCCCAACAAAAUGCUUCGCUUUGAGAAAAUGGAAGGGUUUUAUUCCACUUAUUGAUUUUCUUUUUUUGCUUGUAGCUUGCUUUCAAAGUGAAAACUCACAUCUUUUCAGCGCAGAUAAGUGUCCACAGCAGUUCUUCUUCCCAGAAGCUCAGCUCUCCCUCCCACUUCACCUCUCGGAUUUUUCCUCCCACUUAUCCUCGGAGCAUCCUCCUGUGACUGUCCCAGCACCAGCAGGUCUGCACCCAGCACCCAGAGCCACCUUUAGGUGUCUGUGUGGUGCUGGUGCGCGUGACACCGGCGGUGGCUCUGCUGUGGGGCACCCGCAGGGAUCCAGCCCCGCGCUGCCAGAGGACGUCUCAGCCACAGCUUUCAAAUCUCCAGCGAGGACAUUAGAAAAACAAACCAAAAAAAAAAAAAAAAGAGAAAGAAAGAAAGAAAGAAAGAAAAUGAAUAACAACAACAAAAUCUGUGGUUUUAAAUUCCAUCCUUGGCUAAGUCCCUUUCCAGAGAAACAUGUCAACAUAGGCUGCAGCCAGCGGGCUGGAGCGGGAUGCUCGGGGGGGACACGAGGGUUUGGGCUCCUUUGCCCCAGUGCGGGGCAUUUCCCAGGGGGAACAGGAUGGUGUCACCCCAUGGGAUCCGCAUCCACACCGGGACCUCUGGCCUCCGCAAGAGGAGGACGAGGGGAUGGUCGGGUGCCCACGGGCAUGGCUGGGAGCAGAAGCAGUACAUGUCAGGGCAUCCCCAUGUCUCCAAAAGCAUCGCAUUAA
rnacentral:lncRNA from 1 species